rnacentral:rRNA from 1 species
CCUACGGGGGGCAGCAGUGGGGAAUAUUGCGCAAUGGGCGAGAGUCUGAACCAGCCAAGUAGCGUGAAGGACGACUGCCCUAUGGGUUGUAAACUUCUUUUAUAUGGGAAUAAAAUGUUCCACGUGUGGGAUUUUGUAUGUACCAUAUGAAUAAGCAUCGGCUAACUCCGUGCCAGCAGCCGCGGUAAUACGGAGGAUCCGAGCGUUAUCCGGAUUUAUUGGGUUUAAAGGGGUCGUAGGGGGAUUGUUAAGUCAGUUGUGAAAGUUGGCGGCUCAACCGUAGAAUAGCAGUUGAAACUGGCAGUCUUGAGUACACUAGAAGUAGGCGGAAUGCGUGGUGUAGCGGUGAAAUGCAUAGAUAUCACGAAGAACUCCGAUUGCGAAGGCAGCUCACUGGACUGCAACUGACGCUGAGGCUCGAAAGUGUGGGUAUCGAACAGGAUUAGAUACCCCUGUAGUC